rnacentral:rRNA from 1 species
UACGUAGGGUGCAAGCGUUGUCCGGAAUCACUGGGCGUAAAGGGCGCGUAGGCGGCGCGGGAAGUCAACGGUGAAAGCUUGGGGCUCAACUCCGAGUCGGCCGUCGAUACUCCCGUGCUCGAGCACUGUAGAGGCAGAUGGAAUUCCGGGUGUAGCGGUGGAAUGCGUAGAGAUCCGGAAGAACACCGGUGGCGAAGGCGGUCUGCUGGGCAGUUGCUGACGCUGAUGCGCGACAGCGUGGGGAGCAAACAGG